rnacentral:rRNA from 1 species
AGCAGUAGCCGCGGUAACACGGAGGGAGCUAGCGUUGUUCGGAAUUACUGGGCGUAAAGCGCGCGUAGGCGGUUACUCAAGUCAGAGGUGAAAGCCCGGGGCUCAACCCCGGAACUGCCUUUGAAACUAGGUAACUAGAAUCUUGGAGAGGUCAGUGGAAUUCCGAGUGUAGAGGUGAAAUUCGUAGAUAUCGUGAGGAAGACCAGCGGCGAAGGCGGCUCACUGGACAGUUUCUGACGCUGAUGCUCGAAGGCCAGGGGAGCAAACGGGAUUAGAUACCCGAGUAGUCCCUGUCUCUUAUAC